rnacentral:rRNA from 1 species
AGUGAACGCUGGCGGCAGGCCUAACACAUGCAAGUCGAGCGGCAGCGCGUCCGACCACCCUCGGGUGGUCGGAUGGCGGCGAGCGGCGGACGGGUGAGGAAUGCAUCGGAAUCUGCCUCGUUGUGGGGGAUAACGUAGGGAAACUUACGCUAAUACCGCAUAAGCCCUGAGGGGGAAAGUGGGGGACCGCAAGGCCUCACGCGAAUGGAGCGGCCGAUGCCAGAUUAGCUAGUUGGUGGGGUAAAGGCCCACCAAGGCGACGAUCUGUAGCGGGUCUGAGAGGAUGAUCCGCCACACUGGGACUGAGACACGGCCCAGACUCCUACGGGAGGCAGCAGUGGGGAAUUUUGGACAAUGGGCGCAAGCCUGAUCCAGCCAUGCCGCGUGCGGGACGAAGGCCUUCGGUUGUAAACCGCUUUCAGCCGGAAGAAAUACGCCGUUUUUAAUUACAGACGGUGGAGUGACGGUACCGGAAGAAGAAGACACCGGCUAACUACGUACCAGCAGCCGACGG